rnacentral:tRNA from 1 species
GCCUGGCUGGCUCAGUCGGUAGAGCACGUGACUCUUCAUCUCAGGGUUGGUGGGUUCAAGCCCCGCGUUGGGCA